CAGUAGCCACGGUAGUGCGGAGGGGGCUAGCGUUGUUCGGAAUUACUGGGCGUAAAGCGCACGUAGGCGGCUUCGUAAGUUAGAGGUGAAAGCCCGGAGCUCAACUCCGGAAUUGCCUUUAAGACUGCAUCGCUCGAAUCCAGGAGAGGUGAGUGGAAUUCCGAGUGUAGAGGUGAAAUUCGUAGAUAUUCGGAAGAACACCAGUGGCGAAGGCGGCUCACUGGACUGGUAUUGACGCUGAGGUGCGAAAGCGUGGGGAGCAAACAGGAUUAGAUACCCCAGUAGUCCCUGUCUCUUAUAC
rnacentral:rRNA from 1 species